rnacentral:rRNA from 1 species
AGGACGAACGCUGGCGGCGUGCUUAACACAUGCAAGUCGAACGGAAAGGCCCGCUUGCGGGUACUCGAGUGGCGAACGGGUGAGUAACACGUGGGCAACCUGCCCUCAGCUUUGGGAUAACUCCCGGAAACGGGUGCUAAUACCGAAUGUAGACAUUAUGUCGCAUGGUGUUGUGUUGAAAGUUUUCGGCUGGGGAUGGGCCUGCGGCCUAUCAGCUUGUUGGUGGGUGAUGGCCUACCAAGGCGACGACGGGUA